rnacentral:rRNA from 1 species
CAGAGGGGGCAAGCGUUGUUCGGAAUUACUGGGCGUAAAGGGCGCGUAGGCGGCCUGUUAAGUCGAACGUGAAAUCCCCGGGCUCAACCCGGGAACUGCGUCCGAUACUGGCAGGCUUGAAUCCGGGAGAGGGAUGCGGAAUUCCAGGUGUAGCGGUGAAAUGCGUAGAUAUCUGGAGGAACACCGGUGGCGAAGGCGGCAUCCUGGACCGGCAUUGACGCUGAGGCGCGAAAGCCAGGGGAGCAAAACGGGAUUAGAUACCCCGGUAGUCCUGGCCCUAAACGAUGAAUGCUUGGUGUGGCGGGUAUCGAUCCCUGCCGUGCCGAAGCUAACGCAUUAAGCAUUCCGCCUGGGGAGUACGGUCGCAAGGCUG